UGUACUUGCUGGUGGUCCAUCC
rnacentral:piRNA from 1 species